rnacentral:rRNA from 1 species
UACGAAGGGGGCAAGCGUUGUUCGGAAUUACUGGGCGUAAAGGGCGCGUAGGCGGCCGAUCAAGUCAGGCGUGAAAUUCCCGGGCUCAGCCUGGGGGCUGCGCUUGAUACUGAUUGGCUUGAAUGCGGGAGAGGAUAGUGGAAUUCCCAGUGUAGAGGUGAAAUUCGUAGAUAUUGGGAAGAACACCGGUGGCGAAGGCGGCUAUCUGGCCCGUAAUUGACGCUGAGGCGCGAAAGCGUGGGGAGCAAACAGG